rnacentral:rRNA from 1 species
UACGUAGGUGGCAAGCGUUGUCCGGAAUUACUGGGCGUAAAGCGUGCGCAGGCGGUUUUGUAAGUCUGACGUGAAAUCCCCGGGCUCAACCUGGGAAUUGCGUUGGAGACUGCAAGGCUAGAAUCUGGCAGAGGGGGGUAGAAUUCCACGUGUAGCAGUGAAAUGCGUAGAGAUGUGGAGGAACACCGAUGGCGAAGGCAGCCCCCUGGGUCAAGAUUGACGCUCAUGCACGAAAGCGUGGGGAGCAAACAGG